CACAAGUUGCAUACAUGUCCUAUGAUGUUGGGUUACGUCUGACCGUUU
rnacentral:sRNA from 1 species